rnacentral:rRNA from 1 species
GUGGGGAAUAUUGCACAAUGGGCGAAAGCCUGAUGCAGCAACGCCGCGUGAGCGAUGAAGGCGGAUUCGUCGUAAAGCUCUGUCCUUGGGGAAGAAGAACUGACGGUACCCUUGGAGGAAGCCCCGGCUAAAUACGUGCCAGCAGCCGCGGUAAUACGUAUGGGGCGAGCGUUAUCCGGAAUUAUUGGGCGUAAAGAGUACGUAGGUGGUUUCUUAAGCGGGGGGUUUAAGGCUACGGCUUAACCGUAGUUCGCCUCCCGAACUGGGAGACUUGAGUGCAGGAGAGGAAAGCGGAAUUCCUAGUGUAGCGGUGAAAUGCGUAGAUAUUAGGAGGAACACCGGUGGCGAAGGCGGCUUUCUGGACUGUAACUGACACUGAGGUACGAAAGCGUGGGGAGCAAACAGGAUUAGAAACCCCGGUAGUCC